rfam:Smittium culicis strain GSMNP scaffold-36, whole genome shotgun sequence.
GCCUGGCUGGCGCAAUUGGAUAGCGCAUCUGACUUCUAAUCAGAAGGUUGCGAGUUCGACCCUCGCGCUAGGUU